UUGUUAUACUGAAAAAGUGAGCAUAGGAAACUGAUUUUUUUUUCUGCAAUCUUUUACCUCACUAGCUUUUUAAUGGUACAUUUCUGAAAGCCAUGGAGGACGGAGGCGUCAAGCUUCUGAAAGAAAGAUUAGAGAAAUUCUUCCAUCGGUAUUUGCAAACGCUACAUUUGCAGUCAUGUGACCUACUUGACAUUUUUGGUGGAAUCAGCUUCUUCCCAUUGGAUAAAAUGACUUAUUUGAAAAUCCAGUCCUUUAUUAAUAGAAUGGAGGAAAGCCUGAAUAUAGUCAAAUACACUGCUUUUCUCUAUAACGAUCAGCUCAUCUGGAGUGGAUUAGAACAAGAUGACAUGAGAAUUUUAUACAAAUACCUUACCACCUCCCUUUUUCCAAGGCACAUCGAACCUGAGGUAUGAUGGGUGCCAUAGCUGCGCACAAUUACAUCCAGGGGCACAGACAGGGCAGGUGGAGUGAGAUGGUGGUGCGUGGGGGAGUUUCUGAUCGUUUCUGAUGUAUGUUUUGUCUUAGUG
rnacentral:sRNA from 1 species